GUAUGGGACUGAAGGCCUGAGUCCAGCACUCCCAGGGCAUCACUUUCUUGGUAACAGAAUUUUUCCACUUGCAAUCUGUGGUAAACAAAUGAGGUAUCCCUCUCCUUCAGGCUUCAGCUGUUCAGAGUGAGGUUUCACACCCCCUUCUACAACCUGCCCAUCCAAAUUGACUGUAUGGUCUCUGGGUCUGUACCUUUUCUUCUUCUUACUGUCUGAACCUGAAGCAGCAUCAUCACUGUCCAUUUUUGAAGUGUCUGGUGAAAAGCCAACAUGUGACGUCAGAGAUUCCCCAGGGUGCAAGUUAGUUUUGCAGCUAGGAGAUGUGUGCUGAAGUGUCCCUGCUGUGUGCCUGUACUGGCUUUCAGAAGAUGCCUGCUCCUGCCAAUGUUGAGAUACCUCAGUUCCUGAUUGCUGAGAAACCUCCAGUCUUUUUGCUGGCAUUGGAGGUGUUGAUGGUUGCAUCAAGGAAGGGGGUGGUGGUGAUGGCACCUGUGCAGUAUCUAAGAACUGGGACCUUUGAGAUGGACUAGGUAUUGAACCCUUUGGUGAGUAUGUGAUAUGCUGUCGAGCAAAUGCGUCAUGCCUAAUAUUCCCAGGAUUAAACGAGGAACAGCGGGGACUCUUAGGUUGGUGCUGGCCUGUGGUUUCUUCCAAUUUAUCAUGCUGCUGAAGCACUGCAGUCUUUAAUAAUGAGGAAGUGCUUGAAGGUUUUACAAGUCCUGGAGAACUGGUGUGAGGUUUUACAGCAUUUACUGGGAUCUUACUGUGUUUGUCGUUUUCACUAUGUUCUGUCCUGCUGCUUUCAGGCCCUGUUUGCAGGUUUACAUCUACAGGACUGGGGAAACUUUCAGGGCUCCCCGCAAUCCCGUUAGUUGGUGGAGGAGAAGAGUUUUGUAAUACUUCAUGACUACCUUUGGAAACUUUAGAAGGAGGGGGGCCCUGAUGCCCAUCCCUAUGUUCGCCUUUCCUUUUCCGAUUUCCCAGUUUUUCUGUUUUCGGGGAGUUUAGCUUUUGGAUAUCAUUCCUGCUUUUCAAUUCAUUGAUGGGCUUUGAUCCAGUUACUACAGCAGGUGGCACUUCUGGUUUACAGUUGUGUGCACCACCAUUUGCUGAUCCAGGUGGAUUCGGCAAUCCUCUUGGAACGGAUUCAUUCUGGGUUACAGGUUCUAUCAGUUUUUGCCAAUUCCGUAGCAAUUUCUUGGCACGUUUGGCAAGUUCUUCAUUGGACGUCUUCUUUCUUACGUCAUUGAUGAGUUUCCCUAAUCUUGUUUCCUAUAAAAAGUGAGAAGAGUUGUUUUACAAAAAUUUAAUUCUGAAAACAUAGAACGUAAGUCAAAUCAUAAGAUGCAUUUUCACUUGUCAAUGCAUACUGUUCUGCCAAAUAUCACACCAAAAAUUCACAAAGAAUGUAGGAGCUAAAUAAUAAUAAUCCAUUAGUCUUUUUGGAAGGGAUUGAUUCAGCUGACUCCAUGCUCCACCAUUCAGGGAACCUACUGAAGUUUGAUUCUUCCUCUCUUCUCUUUCUCCACUGGCUGAAGUGCCAUGGGAGCCAUCUGGGGAGUGUGGUGGGGAAGGAGUCCCUCACUCAAUAUGAACCUCUUGCAGGUGACCAAGGAGCAUGCUCAAGUUCUGGGGAAAGAUGUGCGCAACCCCCAACCAGACAAGGUGUGUGUUCACCACCACAGGCAUGUAGAAAGAGGGACAAGAAAUCACAGACCCUUAGAGCUGAUCAUCACUCUUGGCUUAUUGUCACAUCCUACUCCACCCUCCAGAGUCAGAUGGAAUUUUCCCCAAGUGCUGGGGGAAGGAUUUAUGGGGCCAAUUUAAAUAAAGUUCUCGGGGUGCCUAAACAUGGAAGUCGUAAUCUGGUUGUUCCCUCAGUAAGCCCUUUUGUAUAACCAGAUCUCACAGAGGGCAUUUGGCAUAAGAAUGCUUCAGAGUGAAAAGUGAAUUGAACAAUAAACCCAAUGUGUACGAGUCAGUGUUCUCUAGCUAUACAGUAUUCUCAUAGGGGGAACUAACCUCACAGCCAAUCAGGGAUUGGCACUGAAUUGGGCAUAUUUCAAACUAAUGUUAUGGCUCUAUAAAGUUAUGUUAUUCAUGGUAGGUUAUUAAAGAGAAUUAGAAUUUGAGCAAGAGAAUAAGAAAGUGACCAGUCAUAAGACAUGGAAGUGAUGCUGGCUGAAUCAGACAAGGAAUUAACCAGUGGCAAGUAGGGACUGUUCUGGUCCCUUAUGUGAACAGAAAUUGGAUUGCACCGUACACCAAUAUAGUUGUUACUCUGCUGGUAUAUGAUUCCAGAAAGACAACUCAUUCCAUCAUGUACUGAGGUGCCAGAGGAAGCAGUGGGGGACCAAUUACUGUAUCUUUGCCUUAAAUUUGUAAUCUUUGUGAUUUAUCUAUGUUUUUGUGAAAGAGCUGGAAUACAUUAAAGGGAAUUCAAAAGAUAUUGUACAGAAGCAAUCUGUUUUCAUAUAUAAGCAUGUGUAGAUUUUACAUGUAAGGAGACAUACCUCAAGUGCCUCUUUGGUUAUGGGGUAUUUCUCCAAGCUGGAGAUCACUUCCAGCACUGCUACCAUGUUAUGGAUCUGCAACAAGGAAGAGAAAGUCAUUUAAAUUUUCAUGUAUAUAUUUUAGUUCUCAAAUAAUGCCACAUUUAAAACAUGUUAUGUUGUAUAAUUACAAGAACUGAGCCCAAAAUUGCCACCACAUCUCCUGGCUUUAGGGAGCUGCCUGUCUGCAAUAAGAGGGAAAGGGACACUCCUACAGCCUACUUGGAAAUUGAAGGAGUUGUUACAAUCUUGCUCUUACACAAAGCUAAAUUCAACACACACAGUCAGAUCACAUUGCCAGCUGCAGUGCUUGAUUUUAAGUGAAUACCCAUGAUAGUACAUACCUAUUUUCAUUCAUAAAGAUGUGAACAGUUUAAGCGCAACGUACAUUCACUAUACGUUAAAAUAAGGUGAGAUUGGCAAGUAUAAAGAGAAAACCACCAGUUUCCACUCCUCCAGGUAAAAUCCUGAAUGAGCAGACUUGUGCUGUGUCCCAAGUGUCAGACUAAUUCUGUCAGAUCAACAAGGAAAGCAAAUUCCAGAGCACGCCCAUCAGUGCCCAAAGCACAUCAGUGCCCAGAGUUCAAAUCUAGGGUCUGUUAGCUAGGAUGGCCACACUGGUCAACUGUCAGCAUAGUACUAUGGGAAAGAACCCAGGAUCCAAACCACAGACAGCUUAUUAGGGUUACAUAAUAUUGUAUUCAACAGUGGUGGCAUAGAUUAAAUGUUAAAUUAAAAUAUUUAAUCUUGUUCAGUCUAUUAAUGUACUGUACUUUUGAGAAUCACUCAAAUUGCUCACAUGAUGGCACAUAACAAAUGCUCAACUGGCCCAAUAUUUUAUAGCAUUCUUGAAAAAAGUCUGCUGUAAAGCCAGACUGGUGAAAGCUAUGUUCUUGAUUGACAAAUACAGUACCACCAUAUGCAAUAGGGGUUAAACCCUGACAUUCAUAUCUGUCCCUGUAUCCCAAACUCAGUGAAAAUGAAAAUUUUACAAUACUUUUUCUCCCCCACGAAGCCAUAGCUUUAAGGGUUUCACGAAAACAUGGGGCUUAACCUGCAGUUGAGCAUUACUACUACUGAAGCGUUAUGCCGUGUGUUUAGUGCUGUAAGAAACAGGGAGAGAGAAAAUCCCUGCUCCAACAAACUUACAACAUAAACAGAGAAAACAAGACAAAGGCAGGAGAUGCCCCAGAGGAUUGUUCAGUCUGUGCUCAGAUAGGUGGCUUACCAUGUAAAGGAAUCUGCUCCAUCAAAGGCUAUCAUCACAGGCAUUCUGCCUACAGUUUACCACAGAGAAAACUAGAAGCUGACAAAGAGUUCCAGUUUGAAGUCAGAGUCUUGUGCACAGAAAAACAACAGAACCAAUAUAAAUGGUUUUCAUGGAGCCGCAACGCGUGUCUAACCUGAAUUGCGGGAUUAAUGAUCAGGGCCAGUCUUAAAUACAGCCCUGAUCCAGAAUCAGCCGUAGUUCAGGGAGUCUGUUGAUUCCAGUGGAGUCUAUCCAGCACAAGCUGAGCAAGCAACCACUUUAGAUCCUCCAUCCCAUUAUACCAGUACAUCUCAGGGGUGGUCUCCAUCUACCUCUUCAUCAAUAGGGCGGGGAGGGGGGGUGCUAAGGAGUCUGCUUGAUGCUAGGACGCCCCCAACAGCAUCCUUGACUGAACAGAAGAUGAAGGGAACUCUGCCUUAUUUCCUCCCCCUUCCAGAAACACGGGAUUCCAUAAAUUGUAAUGCUGGCCCUGUCAACGAUAGAUGUUUCAGCUAAAGACAGCCAAGUCCAAAGUACUGUUACUUUUCCUACAGUCUAGACAAGAAACUACCAAACCACAGCCCAUUGAGCACAUGCUGAUAUGGAGAGCGGUCUGCUCAUAUGGUGCUGCCUCUCCUUGCUGAGAAAGCCAUAACAGUUGGGAGGAAAGGUAAAAUGAAGAGCAAGAGUAGUCAAUCUGAUUAACUCUUUCCAAGAAGAAUACUCAAGACAAGUAAAAAUAAAUAUAUACUUUCCUAUAACUUUUCCUAUAAGGAAUUAAUGUUGCUGCCAUAGGAAUAUUAUGCAAUUAAAUGGGAAUUAAGCUGGGACCCAAAAAAUCUGAGCAUUAAAAUUCUAUGAAAGAGCUUGGGAACUGCUGGUUUGGAAAGACUUUUCUAACAGCAACAGUGAAAACAUAAUUUCAGAGUUAUUUCUAAGCAUCACUUCACUGAAUGUGUUAGUUAUACCAGAGAUAUACCUCGUUAUACCUGUGUAAAACAGUAACUUCUUCAGUGUGCUUCGUCAAUGAAUUUUCUAUAAAACAAUAUUUUGAGAAAAAUCUACAUAAGUGUGACUCAUUUCCACAGAGGAGUAGAUCCUGAGCAAAGUCUAAAAACCUCAACAUAAACCACAGUAAAAGUUUAAAACAAGAAAGAGAAGCAAGAAACAGUAUGCCCACUAGGUGUCCUCCAAUUGUCACAGCGAGUAACAAAUCUCUGCUUUAUGAGUUCUAAGCCCAGUCUCAAACACUUGCUAUUCUCAGCACCAAUAAUUCCAAAGCUAUGCUACCUUACAUAUAGGAUAGCAAGGAGUUAUUCUACAAAUUUAUAUCAAAUUAACACACUUGGUGCCAUGUUUUCAAAUGGCCUCAGUGCAACCUUCAUCUGUGCAUAUGCAGCUUUAUGCAUACACAUCACAUCUGUACGCAAAACAAUUUGUGGACACUUAGCGUAAGUGAGAUUGAAAUGCUCAGGUGACCGUGUUCACAAACAAAUGCACCACAAAACCAAUAAUAUACUUGAGAUACAUCAAUGAUAUUUUCAUCCUCUGGACAGACUAAAACUUCCUCAGAUUUCUACCACAACUUCAACAGCCACUACCCAUCUAUUAGACUCACUCGAGAACACUCGCACACUAGCAUUAAGUUCCUGGACACCAUGAUCAACUUCAACAAUGGAACCUUACAGACAACUAUACACAAGAAACCCACAGAUGGACACACCUAUCUUCACAGAUCCAGUAACCAUCCCAAACAUACCAAGAAAUCUGCUAUAUAGAGCCUUCACUUAGACACCACAGAAUAUGCUCUGAGGAGAGUCUGGGAUACACACCUUAAACACACUUAAAACCGCCUUCGCCAAACAAGGACACUCCACCAGAGAAGUAGAUCACAUCAUGGAAUGGGCCACCCAAAUGCCCGGAGAGAACCUGCUUCAAUACAGAAAUAAAAACCCCUCUGACUGCACAUCCCUAAAUGUCACCUACCACCCCACAUUGGAACUCAUACAGGGUAACAAACAAACCAAGAGAUUACUUACAUGUAACUGGUGAUUCUUUGAGAUGUGUGGUCCCUAUUCUGUAUUCCAUUGAGGGUUUAUGCAUGCACACAAUGCUCCCGGAGUUGGAGAAUUUGAAAGUAGUGUCUGUUGGUCUGAGCAUGUGCCUUAGCUCACCUCAUGCUUCCGCUCAAGGUGACAAAGGACAGGACAGAUGACCACAUCUCCAGUUCCUUCUCCACUGCAAAUCAGACAGAUCCAUAGCAAAGGGGAAGGAGGGCAGGAAAUGGAAUACUCGUGGACUUUGAAAUGGCAAAACCCACCACCUUCAAGGAUAGAAGGUAGUCCGGGAGAAGGGGGAUCCCCACUGAUUCCAUUAAAACUCCCUUUUGUUGGGCCCAGGAAGUGAAGCAUUUCCACUUAGCCUGGUAACAGUGUUUAGUGGAUUCUUUCCUGCUGCUGGAGAGGAUAUUUUUCAGCUGUGCAAGACAGGCCCAUUCUAAAGCUAAUGCCCAUCCAAAUACCAUGCUCUGAGGUAGAGCACCUGUGGAUUGGGAUGUCUAAUCUCACUGUUGAACUAUGUCAGCAGGUUGGAGAAGGUAAAGAUAAGAUUUGGUGGAUGGGUUAACAUAUGAAGGAGAUUGGGAAACCAGAUUUGUCUGGGCUAUGACCAUCACUCUGUCUCAUCGGAUCUCGUGGAGUACUCAAGGAGGAGCAGUAGAGGAGGAAAGGCAUCGUUGAUUUGGUCGGACCCUGAGAGUGGUGACAGAGACCUCCCCGGAGUGGGGUGUAGUGCAUUUGAGAUUUAUAUGGGAGGCAGAGGUGUGUGGUCAGGUGACGAUAUCUUGAACUACUGAAUUGUGGAGUGCCCAUUUCUGGUCAGUCACAAAAUGUCUGCUGAGUGAAUCAGUGAGCACAUUCUGUAUCCCUGGAAGGUAAGCUGCAGACAGGAGGAUCUGGUGAGUGGUGCACUAAUUCCAGAGAUUGACUGCUUUUGUGCAUAAAGCUGUCGAUCUCGUGCCCCCGUUUGUUGAAGUAAAUGGCAGUGGUGUUCUCUCAUGUCAGACAACAUGAUGAGACCGGAUGAAUGGGAGAAAGGAUUGACAUGGUUUCAUUACAGCUCAGAGUUCCAGGAUAUUGAUGUGCAUCCUGGAUUCUAAAGACAACCAUGUUCCCUGUGACAUGUAAUCGUCCACGUACUCACCCAUGUGCACUCCCCAGCCUACGAGGGAUGCAUCAAUGAUUAUCAUCUUGUCUGAAGAUGAAGGAAGGGAACCUCUCUGCAUACAUGAUGUGGGUCUGUCCACCACUGAAAGUCCUCACCAGGGUACUGUCCACCUAUCAGCAUGAGGUCCAUGAUGUGACAUUUUGGCAAGUAAACCAUCUGGAGCACAUCUGGAGGCAGUAAAGGUGGAGCUGAGCAAAGGCCGUCACCUAUGUACACUAAGCCAUGUGGCCAAGGAAGGAUAGGCAAGUCCUGGCUGGUACGUGAACGCUCCUUACUGCUGUCAAGAUUUCUGGCAUACGGCUUCAUGAGCCACAGGAUUAAGGGGUACACUGGGUCUCCCAGGAUCACUAUGGGCAUUUCCACACCCCCUAUUGGAAUCUUCUGGUCUGGAAAGAAAGUACCCGCUUGCAGCUUUCUAUACAGGUCCGUGUUCCUGAAGAUGUGUGCAUCAUGCACCUUCCCUGACCACCCCACGUUGAUAUCCGUGAAACGACCCCAGAGAUUCACCAGUGCCUGGAGUACCAUAGAGAAAAGAGAGAGUUACCUUUUCCGUAACUGUUCUUCGAAAUAUGUUGCUCAUGUCCAUUCCAUAUUAGGUGUGUGUGUUCCCCACAUGCACUGGUGCCGGAAGUUUUUCCCCCCAGCAGUAUCUGUAGGGGACCAGCUCUGGCCCCCUCUGGAAUGGCGCCCACAUGGCAUGGUAUAAGGGGCGCUGCUGGCUCCCCCCAGCCUCAGUUCCUUCUUGCCGGAAACUCCGACAGUGGGGAAAGGAGGGCGGGUUGUGGAAUGGACAUGAGCAACACAUCUCAAAGAACACCAGUUAUGGAAAAGGUAACUGUCUUUUCUUCGAGUGCUUGUUCACGUCCAUUCCAUAUUAGGUGACUCCAAAGCAGCACCCCUGGACGUGGGUAGGAGUUCAUGGAUGUGUAGAUUGCAACACAGCUCUGCCAAACCCAACGUUGUCUCUGGCCUGUUGAGUGAUGGAAUAAUGAGUGGUAAACAUGUGAACAGAAGACUACAUUGCAGCUCUACAGAUGUCCUGGAUAGGGAUGUGUGCCAGGAAGACCACCGAAGAUGCCUGCGCUCUGACAAUCGGCAGCGGCAGAACCCCUGCCAGGUCGUAACAGGACCUUAUGCACGAGGUAAUCCAAUUGGAAAUCCUCUGCAAUUGACCCUUCAUCCUAUCCACUUCCGGAAUGAGUGCUGACUCCAUUAGGAGUGCUCUUCGAUGGAUAUCAUGUUCCUUCUUCAUUCUAGGUUUGAAGGACUUACAGAAAUGGCACUUGUCACUUAUGUGCCCUUUGCCUAAGCAGCUGGUAUGUGGAUCGCUGAGGGGCACAGGCCAUUUGCAGCGAUUGCAGGGCUUAAAGCCUGGGAACCAGGGCAUGCCCUGACACCCCAAUGGGUCCCAUUCUGAACUAAUGGAGAAUUUGAGAACUACUACUAAGGGUAACUAAGAAAACUACUAACUAUGUAUAACUAUUUUACAGGAUUUCAAAGUUCGCAAGAACAGAGAAAGAAUCAAUGCUAGCCGAAGCAGCAGAGGUUCCAGCACCGUCACUGACAGCAAGAAGGAACUGAGGGUGGGGUGAGCCAGUGGCGCCCCUUAUACCGCGCCAUGCGGGCGCCACUCCAGAAGGUGCCAGAGUCAGUCCCCUACGGAUACUGCUGGGGGAAAAAACUUCCGGCACCGGUGCACGUGGCGAGCACACACACCUAAUGUGGAAUGGACAUGAGCGAGCACUCGAAGGAAUAGCCCUUUCUGUUGAUGUACUCUGUCAUAAGAUGGGAUAUGCGUGCCAUUGCCCUGUUGCAGUUAGGGAAUCCCAUUGCAACAAAGCCAUUCACUAUUUCCUGCACAUUGCCCAGAGUCACAGUCCUUCAUAGCGGGAGGCGAUUAAUAGUCCUGCACACUUGCAUCACCGCAACCCCCACUGUGGACUCCCAAUUCCAAACGGAUUUCGGUAGCAGUCUGGAGUUGCAAGCUGCUAUACAGCAAUCGCCACUUGCUUUUCCACCAUGAUGGCAGCUCUCAUUUGGUGUCCUUGCUCUGCACACAGUUCCAGGAAGGUGGCUUUGCACAUCCAAAUGUUCUGCUGCCACUGCCUGUCAUACAUACAUGCAUCACAAUGAGAUCCCACCACUCAGUGCUUGUUUCCCGAGCCCAGUACUGACAGUCCACCAUGUGCAGCUGUUCUGUCAAUGCCAACAUCAGUCCUGAAUUGUUUCUUUCCACAGCACACAGCAGGACAGGUAUCACAGACUCAUUAUCAGAUUCACAGCUCAUCACAAAACUGGAGAGUAGUGAAGGAUGCAUGCUUUCAGGCAGAGAUGGCGGGCAAACAGUUUACAGAGGCUGCUGAAAAAUGGAACAAAAUGUAGCUGGAAGCCCAUGGAAUGAUGGAACAGCAAAAACUGCAUCAUGGGACAGUGAGCCUGCCUCCAUGAUGCACUGCAAUCCAUUCCCAGAACUCCAAGCAGUAGAAGGUGGCAAGUUGCACAGUGGGAUAGCUACCCAUGGUGCACUGCUCUCUGUCAGUGCUAGAGCACCAACUGUGAACAUGCUCCGCCGACACAAGGAGCGUUGUGGAAACACGCACAAGCAAUAUAAUUAGAGUGGUUUAUGAUUGUUGAUUUAACUCUGUCGUGUAGACAUAGCCUAAGCAUCAUUAAUCACUGCUCCAGCUCUUUGUUAGGUCCCAGCAAUGCCUCAGCAGAUCUCGUACAUAUCUAGCCCUACUUUCCAAUCAGGUCCGGUCUAACUGUGCAAAAUUUUGAGUCUGCAGCUUCAGACACUUUGGCACCCAAUUUCCCUCAGUGUCCCAGCGCCUGUCCCAGCUACAGUUUUGGUGUCUGUGUUUCACUUCAAUGAGCUGCUGUUUCUUGGUGCUCUGGCACCUGGAUUGCUCUCAGUGCCCUGGUGCCCGAGAUACAGCAGUUCAGCACCCACACAAUUUUUUAGGCAGCCUUAAGGCUACUUGGUGCAUUGGCACCUGCUCUACUAUUUCAGCACCAGUUUUGUCAAGGUUCUUUUAAAAUAAGAUUAGUGCACUAGCUAUUCCAAAUCCACAAUUCCAGGUCCCUGUUGACAGAAUAAUUCUGGGGAAUUUCUAGACAUCAAAAUACACAAAGCAUCUUUAGGCUUUGGAAAACUGGGUAUCUUCCUUCCAAAUAAGUUUUAUCUGAAAUGAGUCAUAUUGAGUAAUUAUGCUCAAUGUGCCCUCCAGGCCAACAAUCUGAGUGACUUUUUACAAUUACUGGUAAUCCCCAAACAUUACACGUUUUAAGUGACUGUCAAACUGAUGGAGAGAGAGGCCAUACACCUGUUAAAAAGUUAAUACAAGGAGUCUGAUAAUGCAGGUGUGUACAUGAAGCUGGCAUAAAAGAGCACUUAGGGAAUAUCCAGUAGCAACUCUUUUUAAUUAGAAAAAAACCCCAAAGGAAAAAACCCCAAAGAAAUAAACACAGGCUACUUCGGGGAUUCCACAUACACUCUCACCUACAGUGUUCUGAGAGAAUAAAAGAAACCCUAUUACAAAAAUCUUCUAGAACCCAUCAAAAUAUGUAAAAAAGUACUCUUGGAUAUGAGGCACCAUUGCCACCAGCUCUAUGCAUGCCUUCCAUAUACUACAGGCAGCAGGAUGUGUUUCUUCUGCUUUGACCUACUUGAAAGCGUGUCUCUUCUGAAAGCACCCUUGGCCAGGUCCAACAGAUUUUGUUUUUGUUAAGAACCAUGAGAAAAUUUCUUUCCACACCUUGUGGAACAACAGUUCACUGAGGACAACCACCAUCUUAUGGAACCUUUAAUAAAAUAAUAUUCACCUAAUUCUAAGCUAUAGUAUGGAAUGUGCAGCCUGCCUAGAAGUACCAUCUCUACAGCAGGAAGUCCAUCCUUUGAUGGCAAUGGCACAUUAACACUGCAUGACUUUUCACAAUUAGAAUAUUGGUUUCAAAGGACUAUAUCAGACUAACAUAUCAAAGCAUAAACCUUAUAGCAUAUCAAAAUUUUAUACAAUAAGAUUUCCCCAGAAAAUAAACAUUGUAAGUAAUGUCUAAUGAGCACGUGAAGUACUAACUUUCAUUUAUGAGAACUCAAAUUUGUUUCAAAAUUCCACAUGCACAAUUAAUUCAUUCUGAAGUCUCCCCAUUUGCCAAAAUUUACAUUAAAGCGAAUCAUGUUUCUAUUAGUUGUAAAAACUAAAUUAAAAAUGUAGAAAUCAGAAAUCCCAGUUUAAGACUGAGAAUUAAAUACUUCUUCCUAACAGGAACUAAAUUCCAAGGCUUAAUAAAAUGUAAGCAGUUGUUAAACCCCUGAACACAGGGCUAUUACUAGAGACACCAAAACUCCACAGCUACCACCAUGCACUGCUGGCCUAAGAAUUCAUAUUAGUCUCCCAUAGUUAAAAACUUGCUCAGCUUGUUAGAUGAAAAGGUUUUGCUAACUUCAGCGAUAUACAUUGAUAUGCCAUGAGAAACUGUUCUAGUUUGAAAAACAGCAGUCCAGAUAACAGUCCGCUGUUCAGAAUGCUCUAUUAUUGUCUACAUACUAGAUAAGACAAAAUAAAAUAAAAUGAACUGGCAAGGGAGGAGUUUAGCAAUCUGGGUCUCUAGAAACUGCAAGAGUAUACAGUUGCAUAAUUCAGCUGCCUCAAGAACUCACAUGUGGUUUUAUUGCCUAUUUGCCUCAGUCUAUGACUGCCACUUUCCCUCCCUGCCAAAACUCCUCCCAUUUACAUAGCCAGUUCUGUUAGCUCCUCUUCUGCAAAGGUAAAGAACUUGUACUGCUUGUCCUCAUCCUGUGUUUUGAAGUUUGAUAGCCAUGUGGAUCAUGCAUACAAAAGUUUAUUGGAAGAGGAGAACAUAUGUGUUGAGCCACUUUCAACAACCCAUUCAAUACCAAUCCAUGGACUAUGACAGAAUGCAAAUCCUAUCUAUUUAUUCCAUAAUAUCAGUCUCCGGCAGUUAACCUCAUUAAUCACACUUCUGAAUUUAGUAUUGGUUUCCUAGGAUCUCUUCCAAAUUAAGCAACAUCUCUUUCCAUUCUAGCUUUAAACUAGAAUAUGACAGUUACUCAACCCUGUGGGACAAAACCACAAGCAGCUCAGUUUCUCAAUGGCUUUUUGUCGCUUUAAAAGUAUUCUACUUUUAUAAAGUAAGAGUCCAACUGAAUCUUUAAUUUAAGGAUGGUCUUUAAUAUGGCAGUUAUUCCACACACAAAAAUCUAUUGAAUAUUAUUAAAUUACGGUAACACCCAAAGGCCACAAUCAGGAUUGUGUUAGGUGCUGUACAAACAAUCCCUCCCUCAGAGUUUACAAUUUAAUUAUAGAUUAGAUGCAAAUGUAAAACAACAAGAAGCAGGAAGAGUGGAUAAAACUAACAAGAUCUGGUUACACAGGCUGCCUGCUACAUGCCUAACGAUCAUUCCAAAUCAUCGUAAUUUAAACCUUCGCUAUACAUUUUAGGGGAGUUAUUUGUUUUAUUACACCAGCCCAAACUCCCUUGGUUCUUUUAAAUCCACUCCUCCCCAAGUGACAACUGACUCACUACACGUUUUUAAUGUUUUCUCUCUCUUUUACAUAAAUUAUCCCCUGGUAUCCCUGCCUAGCAUCUCUCAAAUCUUCAGAUAAUGGCCCCUCUUCCUCUACACAAGUUCCAAGAAAUGCACCUCCCAGUGUGGGACUGGGAGGCCACUUAAGCCCUGAGGAUUUUCCCCACUUUCUGCUGCAGUCCAGAAGGUUGAGUCCUUGCAGGGGUCAGGCUCAAGAGACAAAAUACAUUCUGGAACAUUACUGCUCUGAAGAGACUUUUCUAAUCCUUAACACUGUCAGUUUUGACAAAAAAAAAAAAAAACGGUAUAAAUAUUCUCU